CAAGUAAAAAUGGCAAAGACAAUGGGAGUUAGCUCGAGAAAAUAAGGUUAAGGUAAAGUCAGAUCGUUGAAUCAGCAUCCCAGGUCAAUCCCGAACUCAAUAAGGAUUGGUAAAUUUUAAAAUACAAGGUUCAUUUUGAGUUCAUAUAGUUUGUCACACGGGCGUGUGCCUUGGUUGCCACGGCCGUGUCAUAAAGACAGUUUAGUACACGGGCA